rnacentral:rRNA from 1 species
CACGUAGGGGCCAAGCGUUGUCCGGAUUUAUUGGGCGUAAAGAGCUCGUAGGCGGUUGGGUAAGUCGGGUGUGAAAACUCCAGGCUCAACUUGGAGAUGCCACCCGAUACUGCUCUGACUUGAGUUCGGUAGGGGAGUGGGGAAUUCCUGGUGUAGCGGUGAAAUGCGCAGAUAUCAGGAGGAACACCGGUGGCGAAGGCGCCACUCUGGGCCGAAACUGACGCUGAGGAGCGAAAGCGUGGGUAGCAAACAGG